GGCCUCGUGGCCCAAUGGCAAGGCGUCUGACUACGAUUAGGAAACUAGUGACGGAGGUUUCUUACCAACGUUAAUCAGGAGAUUCUGGGUUCGACCCCCAGCGAGGUCA
rnacentral:tRNA from 1 species